UACAGAGGGUGCAAGCGUUGUUCGGAAUUAUUGGGCGUAAAGCGCGUGUAGGUGGCCACGCAAGUCAGGUGUGAAAGCCCAGGGCUCAACCCCGGAAGUGCACAUGAUACUACGUGGCUGGAGUACUGAAGAGGAGAGCGGAAUUCCCGGUGUAGAGGUGAAAUUCGUAGAUAUCGGGAGGAACACCAGUGGCGAAGGCGGCUCUCUGGGCAGAUACUGACACUGAGACGCGAAAGCGUGGGUAGCAAACAGG
rnacentral:rRNA from 1 species